rnacentral:rRNA from 1 species
GCCUAACCCGUAAGGGAGGGAGCUGUCGAAGGUGGGGUCGGCGAUUGGGACGAAGUCGUAACAAGGUAGCCGUACCGGAAGGUGCGGCUGGAUCACCUCCUUUCUAAGGAGCA